rnacentral:snoRNA from 1 species
CUUCCCAUUUAUUUGCUGUAUUGUCUCUCAGUAACAUGAACAGUUGUAUUCAUAGGAUAAAAUAAUGUUGGCCCAUUGUAAACUGAGUUGAAGAAACUGCUUUUUCUCUGCUACAUGAUGUGGACAAUG